UGCGUAGGUGGGUUGGUAAGUCAGUGGUGAAAUCUCCGGGCUUAACCUGGAAACUGCCAUUGAUACUAUCAAUCUUGAAUACCUUGGAGGUGAGCGGAAUAUGUCAUGUAGCGGUGAAAUGCUUAGAUAUGACAUAGAACACCAAUUGCGAAGGCAGCUCACUACACGGUCAUUGACACUGAGGCACGAAAGCGUGGGGAUCAAACA
rnacentral:rRNA from 1 species